rnacentral:rRNA from 1 species
UACGGAGGAUCCAAGCGUUAUCCGGAUUUAUUGGGGUUAAAGGGUGCGUAGGCGGCCUGUUAAGUCAGGGGUGAAAGACGGUAGCUCAACUAUCGCAGUGCCCUUGAUACUGAUGGGCUUGAAUUGACUAGAGGUAGGCGGAAUGUGACAAGUAGCGGUGAAAUGCAUAGAUAUGUCACAGAACACCGAUUGCGAAGGCAGCUUACUAUGGUCUUAUUGACGCUGAGGCACGAAAGCGUGGGGAUCAAACAGG